GACGAACGCUGGCGGCGUGGAUUAGGCAUGCAAGUCGGACGGUAGGGCUUUAUCGUAAGAUAGAGUUUGAGAGUGGCGAACGGGUGAGUAACACGUAGGAAUCUACCCUUAAGACGGGGACAACCCAGGGAAACUUGGGCUAAUACCGGAUGAGAGUGCGAGAGAUUGCAUUUAAAAGGAUGGCGAAAGUUGUCGCUUAGGGAUGAGCCUGCGGUCUAUUAGUUAGUUGGUGAGGUAAGAGCUCACCAAGGCGAUGAUAGAUAGGCGGCCUUAACGGGUGGUCGCCCACACUGGGAUUGAGAUACGGCCCAGACUCCUACGGGAGGCAGCAGUGAGGAAUAUUGGUCAAUGGGCGAGAGCCUGAACCAGCCAAGUCGCGUGAAGGAAGAAGGUCUUAUGGAUUGUAAACUUCUUUAGCAGAGGGAUAAAGGUUAUUACGAGAUAAUAAUUUGCAGGUACUCUGCGAAAAAGGAUCGGCUAACUCCGUG
rnacentral:rRNA from 1 species